UUUAAGUGUAGUUACGAGUUUCUGCAUUUAACGUUUAACCAUUCGUCCUAUUUAAAAUUUUCAUAAUUAGUAUUUUUAUUAUUAUUAAAUGAUUAAACAUGAAUAAUACUUUAUGCGUGAUUUUUUUAAUUUUUUCAUAAAAUUUUCAAAUAAAACGGACGAUCAAAGAUUUAAUACGGAAAAUCAUGGCUACACUAAAU
rfam:Oryza punctata chromosome 4, whole genome shotgun sequence.